rnacentral:lncRNA from 1 species
UGGCUCAAUUAAUUUAUAAAUUUGAUUAGAUUUAAUUAAGAUUAUAGGAGCCUAAUUAAAUUAGAUUUAUCAUAUUUUAUUUGGAUCUAAUUGGAUUGGAUUUGAAAAAAAUUCAAUUGGUUAAACCCUACAGUCCCAAAUGAAUGGGACUCUCUCCCUUGCGCCACCCAAAUUAUCUUGUGCCUUUUCUCACCAUACAAAAUUAGUUUGUGUGUAAGAAAAUUAGAAGAUAACUCUUCUUUUAUCAU